GACGAACGCUGGCGGCGUGCCUAAUACAUGCAAGUCGAGCGGACUGAAUGGGAGCUUGCUCUUGUUCGGUCAGCGGCGGACGGGUGAGUAACACGUGGGCAACCUGCCCGCAAGACCGGGAUAACUCCGGGAAACCGGAGCUAAUACCGGAUAACACCGAAGACCGCAUGGUCUUUGGUUGAAAGGCGGCGCAAGCUGCCACUUGCGGAUGGGCCCGCGGCGCAUUAGCUAGUUGGUGAGGUAACGGCUCACCAAGGCGACGAUGCGUAGCCGGCCGGGGAGGGUGGCCGGCCACACUGGGACUGAGACACGGCCCAGACUCCUACGGGAGGCAGCAGUAGGGAAUCUUCCGCAAUGGGCGAAAGCCUGACGGAGCGACGCCGCGUGAGCGAAGAAGGCCUUCGGGUCGUAAAGCUCUGUUGUGAGGGAUGAAGGAGCGCCGUUUGAAGAAGGCGGCGCGGUGACGGUACCUCACGAGGAAGCCCCGGCUAACUACGUG
rnacentral:rRNA from 1 species